rnacentral:rRNA from 1 species
CCACGGGAGGCAGCAGUGGGGAAUAUUGCACAAUGGGCGAAAGCCUGAUGCAGCCAUGCCGCGUGUAUGAAGAAGGCCUUCGGGUUGUAAAGUACUUUCAGUUGUGAGGAAGGGGGUGUCGUUAAUAGCGGCAUCUCUUGACGUUAGCAACAGAAGAAGCACCGGCUAACUCCGUGCCAGCAGCCGCGGUAAU